rnacentral:rRNA from 1 species
GUAGGUGGCAAGCGUUGUCCGGAAUUAUUGGGCGUAAAGCGCGCGCAGGCGGUUCUUUAAGUCUGAUGUGAAAGCCCACGGCUCAACCGUGGAGGGUCAUUGGAAACUGGAGAACUUGAGUACAGAAGAGGAAAGCGGAAUUCCACGUGUAGCGGUGAAAUACGUAGAGAUGUGGAGGAACACCAGUGGCGAAGGCGGCUUUUCUGGUCUGUAACUGACGCUGAGGCGCGAAAGCGUGGGGAGCAAACAGGGAUUAGAUACCCUGGUAGUCCACGCCGUAAACGAUGAGUGCUAAGUGUUAGGGGGUUUCCGCCCCCUUAGUGCUGCAGCUAACGCAUUAAGCACUCCGCCUGGGGAGUACGGCCGCAAGGCUG